rnacentral:misc_RNA from 1 species
GAGUUCAUGCCCUCACGGGUAGAUCUCCCACCCUUGAAUAUAUUACCUUUGUUGCUUUGGCGGGCCGCAUCGUCCUCCGGCCCCGGCUGGGGAGUGCCCGCCAGAGGACCCAAAACCCUGAAUAUUAGUGUCGUCUGAGUAAAAUUUUAAUAUUUAAAACUUUCAACAACGGAUCUCUUGGCUCU